GAGGAGCUAGAGAGGGCAGAAAUGUAGGAGGAUGGAGAACCACACAGGAGAACCUGGCUUGCUCCAGUGUAUGGCGCGAGCCGUCUGCUGGCCUGCCAAGUUUGAUGGGAGAACUUGGAGACUGUUUCCACAUGCAAGUUUACAACACAAAGGAUUAGUUGCAUAGUUGCAGCGGUGGAAGGUCUUGUGACCAGGAGAGGAUGGAUUCUGGUGGAGGCUCUCGAAUUCUUCAGAUGAAAUGCAGAGAUGUUCCCUCAGGAGAGGAAUUAUGAUACAAGAAAGUGCCUCACCCCCACCUUCGAAGGGCUCAGGCACAGCAAUGUGAAUCUGCAGACAUGGUCACCAAACAGCUUCCAUCUGUGGUUCCGAGGGCCCAGCUAAUGAGGUGGCAUGAAGGGUGCUGUGGACUGGUUUCAUUGGUGGACAGGGGCGUGGGCCACACAUGCUCACUCAUUCUUACUUCUGGGGUGUAUACAGAAUGGAUCUGUUACUCUGGAAGAUGGAUGACCACCACCCACCCCCAUUGCCUUGCUGCUCUUGAAGGGUCCCCACACACAGACUGAGGCUAAAGUGUAGGUUUGUAAUGAAUAGCCUAAUGUGUCUAAAACGUACUGUCUGUGAGGGCCUAUAGUUUCUGCUCUGUAUCCACCUUUGCUGGCUUCAGCUUCGUUGGUUGAUCUUACUUUCCGUAUGCAGAGUUCUUACGUGUCUUAGUCCUUCCAGAACUAAGAAGCAUGAACGUCAGGACAGCAAUACUUAGAUUCAAGUAUUGGCUCUGCAGCUUGCUAGUUGUAUGAUUUGGACAAAUUAAUCUCUUUUUCUCUA